GACGAACGCUGGCGGCGUGCUUAACACAUGCAAGUCGAGCGGUAAGGCCCUUUCGGGGGUACGACGAGCGGCGAACGGGUGAGUAACACGUGGGUGACCUGCCCUCCAGCUCUGGGAGUAAGCCUGGGAAACGUGGGUCGUAAUACCGGAUAUGACCCCACUGACGCAUGUCGUGGGGUGGAAAGCCUUGUGCGGCUGAGGAUGGGCCCGCGGCCUAUCAGCUUGUUGGUGGGGGUGAGGCCUACCAAGGCGACGACGGGUAGCCGGCCUGAGAGGGCGACCGGCCACACUGGGACUGAGACACGGCCCAGACU
rnacentral:rRNA from 1 species